GUGUCAGCAGCCGCGGUAAUACGGAGGGGGCGAGCGUUAUUCGGAAUUAUUGGGCGUAAAGGGCGCGUAGGCGGCUCUUUAAGUCAAAGGUGAAAUCCCUCGGCUCAACUGAGGAACUGCCUUUGAAACUGAGGAGCUUGAGUCCGGGAGGGGGUAGCGGAAUUCCCAGUGUAGCGGUGAAAUGCGUAGAUAUUGGGAGGAACACCAGUGGCGAAGGCGGCUACCUGGACCGGAACUGACGCUGAGGCGCGAAAGCGUGGGUAGCAAACAGGAUUAGAUACCCGUGUAGUCC
rnacentral:rRNA from 1 species